AAAAACCCAAACUAGAGUUGUAUGGUAAAACAUAUUGAGUUAGAUUUCCAUUUUAGGGAUAAUUGUCUAUAUACCCUUCAAAACUUCGAAAAUAUUUAAUUUAUUAUUAUUUUUUUUGGAUAUAUCUCUUAUAUAUUCUUCCGUUAUUCAAAAAUAUCUCUACAUUUAUCACAUUAAGUUAUCUCAGAUUAAACGUGAGUUAAAUAUUUAUCUACUAAAGUUAAAAAAAAAUCAAAAUAUCUCUUUUGCCCUUAACUUAAGGGCAAAUAAAAAAAAUCUGAUGAUGAUAGCUAGGUAUAUUUGAAAAGACUAAAAAUCAAAAUACUUAUUUUGUCCUUAAUUUAAGAGCAAAUAAGAAAAAUUGAUGAUGAUAGCAGGGUAUAUUAGAAAAGACUAAACAUCAAAAUACUUAUUUUGUCCCUAAUUUAAGGGCAAAUAAGAAAAUGGUGAUGGUGGAUCAGAAGGGUAUAUUUGAAAUGACAAAACAAUAGUUUCACAGAGAUAAGAGCUAUUACUAAUAGUUCGCUAACAGAAUUUAACACUAAGUACGCGGGAGUCCCAUUCUGAUUCCCGAGUGGAAUGGGAAUUCCCCACUCACCUUUUUUUUCAAUCAGGCCUAAUUGGCAAGAUUGAAAGUUGAAUCCGGACGGAAUGGAUAUUUAUUCGGAUUAAAUUUAUUUUUUCAACUUUUUUAAUUAAAAUAUGAGUUAAAAUUUAAAAAUUAAAUAUAUAAUUUUAAAUUUUAAUUUAAAC
rnacentral:lncRNA from 1 species